rnacentral:rRNA from 1 species
GUAGGUGGCAAGCGUUGUCCGGAAUUAUUGGGCGUAAAGCGCGCGCAGGCGGUUCUUUAAGUCUGAUGUGAAAGCCCACGGCUCAACCGUGGAGGGUCAUUGGAAACUGGAGAACUUGAGUACAGAAGAGGAAAGCGGAAUUCCACGUGUAGCAGUGAAAUGCGUAGAGAUGUGGAGGAACACCAGUGGCGAAGGCGGCUUUCUGGUCUGUAACUGACGCUGAGGCGCGAAAGCGUGGGGAGCAAACAGGGAUUAGAUACCCUGGUAGUCCACGCCGUAAACGAUGAGUGCUAAGUGUUAGGGGGUUUCCGCCCCCUUAGUGCUGCAGCUAACGCAUUAAGCACUCCGCCUGGGGAUACGGCCGCAAGGCUG